rnacentral:rRNA from 1 species
UUUUUCAGUCGAUUUCUUCGGAAUGAAACGGAAAAAGGAAAGUAGCGAACGGGUGAGUAACACGUGAGAAACCUGCCUUUCACAAAGGGAUAGCCUCGGGAAACCGGGAUUAAUACCUUAUGAUACAUUAAUAUCGCAUGAUGUAAAUGUUAAAGAAUUUCGGUGAAAGAUGGUCUCGCGUCUGAUUAGCUAGUUGGUAAGGUAGUGGCUUACCAAGGCGACGAUCAGUAGCCGGAUUGAGAGGUUGAACGGCCACACUGGAACUGAGACACGGUCCAGACUCCUACGGGAGGCAGCAGUGGGGAAUUUUGCACAAUGGGGGAAACCCUGAUGCAGCGACGCCGCGUGAACGAUGAAGGUCUUCGGAUUGUAAAGUUCUGUCCUUAGCGAAGAUAAUGACAGUAGCUAAGAAGCAAGCCCUGGCUAAAUACGU